GAUGAACGCUGGCGGCGUGCUUAACACAUGCAAGUCGAACGGAAAGGCUCUGCUUUUGUGGGGUGCUCGAGUGGCGAACGGGUGAGUAACACGUGGGUGACCUGCCCUUCACUUUGGGAUAAGUCCGGGAAACUGGGUCUAAUACCGGAUAGGACCUCCUUCUGCAUGGUGUUGGGGGAAGUUUUUCGGUGUGGGAUGAUCUCGCGGCGUAUCAGCUUGUUGGUGGGGUAGUGGCGUACCAAGGCGUCGACGGGUAGCCGGCCUGAGAGGGUGUCCGGCCACAUUGGGACUGAGAUACGGCCCAGACUCCUACGGGAGGCAGCAGUGGGGAAUAUUGCACAAUGGGCGCAAGCCUGAUGCAGCAACGCCGCGUGGGGGAUGACGGCCUUCGGGUUGUAAACUGCUUUCGCUAGGGACGAAGCGCGAGUGACGGUAACUGGAGAAGAAGCACCGGCUAACUACGUG
rnacentral:rRNA from 1 species